rnacentral:rRNA from 1 species
UACGAAGGACCCAAGCGUUAUCCGGAUUUAUUGGGUUUAAAGGGUGCGUAGGCGGGUUAUUAAGUCAGUGGUGAAAGCCUACAGCUUAACUGUAGAACUGCCAUUGAUACUGAUAGUCUUGAGUAUGAUUGAGGUGGGCGGAAUGUGUCAUGUAGCGGUGAAAUGCUUAGAUAUGACACAGAACACCGAUUGCGAAGGCAGCUCACUAAGCCAUAACCGACGCGGAUGCACGAAAGCGUGGGGAGCAAACAGG